UACGGAGGGUGCAAGCGUUGCUCGGAAUUAUUGGGCGUAAAGGGUAGGUAGGUGGUCUCAUUUGUCUGGGGUGAAAGCCUUGAGCUUAACUCGAGAAGUGCCCCAGAAACGGUGAGACUAGAGUCCUGGAGAGGGUCGUGGAAUUCCCGGUGUAGCGGUGAAAUGCGUAGAGAUCGGGAGGAACACCAGAGGCGAAGGCGGCGACCUGGACAGGUACUGACACUGAGGCACGAAAGCGUGGGGAGCAAACAGG
rnacentral:rRNA from 1 species